UACGGUAGGGCGCAAGCGUUGUCCGGAAUUAUUGGGCGUAAAGAGCUCGUAGGCGGCUCGUCGCGUCGGAAGUGAAAGCCCAUGGCUUAACUGGUGGGUCUGACUUUCGAUACGGGCGGGCUAGAGGCAGGUAGGGGAGAACGGAAUUCCCGGUGUAGCGGUGAAAUGCGCAGAUAGUCGGGAGGAACACCGGUGGCGAAGGCGGGUCUCUGGGCCGUAACUGACGCUGAGGAGCGAAAGCAUGGGGAGCGAACAGG
rnacentral:rRNA from 1 species